rnacentral:lncRNA from 1 species
AAGCAUGUUCAUGAUUAAACCUGUAUGCUGGCUUAUUUGAGUGACUUCUCUCUGAUUGCAGUUUCCUCAGUCCUAUUCUCCUCUUCCUUUUUUUUUUUUUUUUUUCUUUUUUCUUCCCUUUCCUUCCUUUCUUUUGGUUUAGAGAAGCCCUUUCAAUAUUUCCUUUAACCUGGGUUUUGUAUUGCUGUAUUCCUUAAGUUUUUGUUUGUUGGGAAAAAUUUUUAUUUCCCCUUCUAUUUUAAAUGAUAUUCUUGCUGGAUAGUGUAUUCUAGGUUGCAUGUUUUUUCCUUUGAGCACUUUAAAUAUCUCUUGCCAUUCCCUCCUGGCCUGUAGUGUUUCUGUAGAGAAAUCAGCUGAUAUUCUUAUGGGGGUUCCCUUGUAGGUAACAUUCUGUUUUUCUCUUGCUGCCUUUAGGCUCCUCUCUCUAUCACUAACUUUUGCCAUUUUUAUUAUGAUGUGUCUUGGUGUGGGUCUGUUUGGGUUCAGUUUGUUUGGGGCCCUCUGUGCUUCUUGUAUCUUGAACCCAGUAUCCUUUAGAUUUGGGAAGUUUCCAUCGAUAAUUUCUUCAACUAUAUUUUCCAUCCCCUUAUCUUUUUCUACUCCUUCUGGAAUUCCUAUUAUGCGUAGAUUGGCCCGCUUUAUAUUAUCCCAUAGGUCUCUUAUAUUGCUUUCCAGUUUUUUGAUUCGGUUUUCUGUCUGUUGACCAGAUUGAGUGAUUUCCAUUAUUCUAUCUUCCAUAUCACUGACUUGUUCUUCUGCAUUAUUCAUUCUGGUUUUUACUGCUCCUAGUUCAGUUUGCAUCUCUGCAAAUGAAUGUUCUAGUUUUUCUUGGCUCCUCCUUAUAUUUUCUAGUUCCUUUCUGAGGGUAUCUGCAUUACUGUUCAUAUCUUCUCUUAAUUCCUUCAGUAUUUUUACUAUUUCCUCUUUUGAACUCCAGGUCUGUCUGACUGCAGAGAUGUGUUUCAUUGGUGACUGUUUUAGGUGAGUUCUCCUGUUGCUUUGACUGGGGGUGGUUUCUCAGCUUCUUCAUCUUGCUUGUUGUUUUCUUUCUCCUGAGGGAGUUGUACUCUCCAUGACUGGGCAGUGUUUGCCUUGUCACUGCCGUGGAAUAUUUCCUGAGGGCUGGCGUUGUUGGUCAAUCUUUUUUGAGGCAGUGUGGCUUUUCUGGAGUGUUGAUGGGGCUAACAGUGUUUCUUUGAAGCAAAGGAGGACUUCCUGAGGGCAGACAGGACUGGGAGGUCCACACCACGAUGGUAGCUGAUUUCACUUGGUCAUGCAGAGCUUGCUCUGGAGUUUUUAGGCUGUGGGGUUCUUGCAGGGGGUUGGCGGUGUUGGGCAACUGCUCUUCAGGGGUGCAUCACCCCCCGGGGGCUGGAGCAGCUAUCUGGGUCACUGAGAACCUAAGAGGCUCUUCCCUAGGGCAGCCCAACUCAGAAGGACAGCCUGAGAAUGUAGGCGGAUCUUUUCACAGUCUGGCUGAGCUUGUUGCAGCUUUUCUGGGCUGCAGGGGCUCUUCCAGGGGGCUGGUGGUGCUGAGCAGUUAUUUCACAGGAGUGGGGCACCCCCUGGGGGCUUGGGCGGGUAGCAGGGCCUUUGGAGACCCAAGAGGCUCCUCCCCAGGGCAGCCCAACUCAGAAAAACCGCCUGAGAUCUUUCCCCAACUCGGCCAGGCUUGUUGCAGCUUUUCUGGGCUGCAGGGGGUCCUUCCUAGAGCUGGCAGUCCUAUGCAGCUGGUUCACUAGAGCAUCCCCUGGGGUCUUGGGCGGGUAGCAGGGCCGUUGGCCCAAGAGGCUCCUCCCUGGGGCAACCUGACUCAGAAAAACCGUCUGAGAAUUAGGCCGAUCUAUUCACAGCCUGGCUAAGCUUGUUUUAGCUUUUCUGGGCUGCAGGCCUUUUCUUGGGGGCUGGUGGUGUUUGGUGCUGCUCUGCGGAAGUGUGGCCACUCCAAGGGGCAAGCAGGCCUGUGCAGGGACAGCCCCUGCGGUGGUAGGCUUCAGGCAAUUGUUGAGGCCAGCCCUCCUGGAUGGCAGGCAGCCCCAGGUCCUUGAGAGCGUAGGGCGUGGCGGGGGGGGGUGGGGGGAGGGGAUGCACUGGGAAGCAGAGCUUUCAGCUAGCUAGCGGGCCUGUAAGCUUGCUGUGGUGUGGGGGGUAUUCUAUGGGGACCCACCCCUUCUUUUCUCCCCUCCUCAGCACGGGCGCAGACCAGGCUCUUCUCCCAGGUUCCCUCUGAUGUGGCUUUCCACUUCCCCGCCCCUGGAGUAUUGCUCCCUUCCUCUGUGACAGCUUUGUUUUCUAGUCUCCCAGGCAGUCUCUGCCCUGUCAACUGGUUUCUAGACCUCCCAAGCAGUUUCCGCUCUGCCCCGCCCCCCUAGCCUGGGGACUAAUCUCUGGAGCCGAGGUCUCAGUGCCCAGCCCCCAUCCAGGCGUAGCCUGUCCCUUUCUCGGGGAUUAACCUUCUGCAGCGAGGUCUCGGUGCCCAGCCCCCACCCAGGCGUCUCAAUUUUUGGUGACUGUGCCCGUAGUUCAGAUGGUCCGUUGAGUUCUUGAUCAGCUUUUCCGUACUCCAACUUACUGCUAUACUCUUCUCUGCAUCUGGAGAUUCCUCCGGUUCGUUUGAUCUUUCGCCCGGUAGGUGACUUUCCAGGGUGCGGGAUCCCUUUCUCCUCUGCAGUUCCCUUUCGGGAGCGCCCGUCCUGCUCGGAUUCACCUUCUCUCACUCUCCUCUUUUCUCCCGUUCUGCCCAGUAAUGUCACGAACUUCUUGCCGUUAUUGGAGUUUAGGUUCCUCUGCCAGCGAUUGGUUGCUGUUCUGUGCGAGUCAUUUAUUCUGUAGAUGUGCUUUUUUUGUUGUGUUUGUGGGUGAGGGCGAGCGUGUCCCCCUACUCCUCCGCCAUCUUGUCCUCUUCCAGGAAUUUCAUUUAUCUUACUUCAUAACUCAGUAUGACUCCAAGUAGGACACCAUGAAAAAUGAUAAACAGAAAUAUUCACUCUUAAAAUUCUACUCCAUGUUAGCCAAGGUCAGCCCGCCUGGACAGACUACCAGGCACAGGACAAGGCACAGAGCCUUGGUGUGUGUGGAUACCCUUUGUGAAUAUCCAGUCUUCCUUGGGAGGACUUACUCUAAGAGAAAGAGCAGCAGCUACUGAAAGCCAAGAGAUCCCUGGCGUUGUUGGAAGGCCUUGGUGCUGCUGAGAGCUGGCCUGCCAUUCGCAGCUAGGCUGUGGUAUUAUCCUACUGAACAGAAAUAAUUUCAGAGCAUGCCAAAACCAGAGAAGGCUACUCUGUGACUUUGUUGGAUCAAGGAAAAAAAAAAAAAACAAAAACAAAAACAAAAAAAAAAAAAACAAAAAAAAACCUUCUGUAACCAUAUCUUAAUGGACAGAAAUAAGAACUUACCCAAAUGAUAAAAAAAGACCAGAUGUUAUCCUAGUUUGGCUAAUAUGAGUAACUACUGCCUUUUAACCAAUUAUAGCUUUAGCUGCACUCACCUCUCCCUACUUCAUAGAAAAUAAUUAUUAAGAUGCCCAAAGAAUUCAAACAAUUAUUGUCACUUCUUGAUAGCAACAAUCAAUCCAGAGCAAAAGCCCUGCUCCCUUGAACUGUCCCUAAAAUUACCAAAGACAUGUCCAAAUCUUCAAGUCCUUUCUUACAUCCUUUUACUGAGAUGCUCCCAUGGUUUCUCACAGUGCGUGUUCUCCCUCAUAACAGGUGAAUGAAAGCAAUUGUGUUACCCCACAAAUGUGUUCCAGGAGGUUUUUGGCUGGAGAUUUGAUAAGUCUUUAGCAUGAGCAUUUGGGGACCAAAGGAAAGUUAGAACAACACUCACUAGAAAAGAUAGAUAUAUGCAAAGAACAGAGAAGUAAAUUAGCAGCAAUAGAGAUUACUCCAAGUUGCAGAAAAAAAGGGAGAUUGAUUUGGAAAGAGGGAGAAACAUUGCUAGAACAACUUAUGAAGAAAGGACUUGGGAAAAUAGAUACAGGGCACCAUGGGAUGUGGAGGUUGGUGGUGGUGAGAGAUGAGAGUGGGAAUAAUUUAUCCAUACCUUCAUUCACUUAUUCAGUCCAUCAGUAAGGAUUUACUGAGUGCCAACUAUGUGCUGGGCACUGGGCACUGAAAAUGCAAUGACAAACAAGAGAAAGAUACUAUUUCUGCUUUUCUGGAUCUCAUAAUUGAGUGAUAGUAAGUAGAGGUUAUCUGACAUUAAAGUAAUGAAUAUUACCAGAUAAUUACAGAGAUAAGAAUUGCCCAUGAAGAAUCUGGAGAAUCUGUGAGGCCCUGAGAAAUUACACUGUGAUGGGAAGGCCAUAGGUGGCUUUGGGAGGAGGUCCUAAGAAUGAGUAAAAGCCAGCCAGGUGAAGAGAUGGUGGAAGAAUAACCCAGGUAGAGAGAAGGAUAUUUGGGAAAACUUUGUAGUAUGAAAUAAUAUGAUAAAUAUAAAAGCAAGAAGUAAGCCCUGGAAUAUGACAGUGGUAUAUUCUGUAUGAGAGAGUAAGAGGUAAAUGGCGGUGAGAAUGCAGACUAUUUUAGGGCAAGGAUUGGCAAAGUAUAGUUUGUGAGUCAAACCCAACCAAUUGCUUGUGUAUAUGUGAAGCUUUAUUUAAAGGACUACUGUCACCUAUUUAUUUACAUGUUAUUUUUGACUAUUUUUUUCAUUAUAGUAACAGUGUUGAAAAGUAGCAACAGAAACUAUAUAGCUGGAGUUCCUGUCAUGGCUCAGCGGUGAGCGAACCUGAUUAGCAUCCAAGAGGAUGUGAGUUCAAUCCCUGGCCUCGCUCAGUGGGCUAAGGAUCUGGCAUUGCUGUGAGCUGUGGUGUAGGUCGCAGACAUGGCUCGGAUCCUGAGUUGCUGUGGCUGUGGUGUAGGCUGAUGGCUACAGCUCCAAUUUGACCCCUAGCCUGUGAACCUCCAUGUGCCAUGAGUGCGGCUCUAAAAAGACAAAAAGACCAAAAAAAGAAAAAAAAAGAAAAAAAAAAAAGAAGAAACUAUAUAGCCAAGAAAGCCUAAAAUAUUUAUGAUCUAGUCCCUUAGAGGAAAAAAUACCUCAGUCUGUAAUGUGGUGAUCUCAUUAAACAGAGGGCGGCUGGAUGGACCAAUUAUGAGGCAAUGGCAGUAGUUUAGGUGAGAGAUGAAGUUGUUGUAGCAUAUGGAGGAGGUGGUGAAGGUGCAGAGAAAUGUGAUGAAUUGGAUAUGUGAAAUACGUGAGAUGGAAGAGGAGAGAAGUCAGGGAAGAUGUGGCUUCUGGCUUGAACAACUAGAGAGAAGAUAAUGGCAUUUUCUGAGGUAGAGGAUGUUCAAAUAAGGACCAGUAUUUUGUUAAUUUAUUUUUACAUAAAUUUUUACAUAAGGAAGAAGAUUAUGAGUUAAGUUUGGGUAUAUCAAUUUCAAAGUCACUUUGAGAGGCCCAAGAGAAGAUGCUCAUUGGACACUGGAUGUACCUU